CAUAGUGCUGAAAAAAACGAUCAUAGAAAUAGUUAGCUAACAAAUAUGUUGUUAAUUAACGUUAGUUGGAGAGUGGCGACGUGCGUCGAGCAGUGUAGCGUUAGUGAAGUGUUAGCCAGGCAGAGCGCACGACAAGCACACCAGAUCAAUAUAAACAACUAACGUUAAAAGAGUGCAUUAUAAGUGAAGGAUUUAACGUGGAGCGUUUGCUUUGCUGCAUCAGGUACGUUCACAGUGCUCCUGUGAUGUGUUUUGCGGUUGACCGAGUGAAAUGUUGUCUGUUCUCAUCGCAUUACUUUCUACGGUAUGAAUUUUCUUCAAGGAUGUUGUCAAGAAUUUGAUUUGAUGUCGACAGAGAUGAAGGUUUGACCGAUUUCACGUCAAGCAUUUUAAUGUGAGGAUAUUUUAGAUGUCUUUUUUAGGCAAUAUAAUUUGCAAUCUAUGUUCUGUCUGUCAAUCUAUCUUAUGCCUUGGUUGUUGUCAGCUGGCCUCUAAAUUUCUCAUGAUAUAACUUAGUAAGCUUACAACAUCAUCUGACUGUUUGAUAGAUAUUAGAAAUGAAUGUAUUUUGUUGAGAUCAAUACUUUGUUCUUAAAUUUUUUGUUCUUUGAUUUAAUCAGCAGUGAAGAUGAACAUCUAAGGGGACUCCCACAAUGGCUUGAGUACUAAUGCUGCUCGGAUAUGCUGUGUGUAUGGAAAGACUGAGGAGUUGAAAGCUGAUUCUACCCUGGAAAGGAGUAAUUUUCUCUUUUAGAGGGGAUGGAAGACCAAGCAGAUACUAUAUUAAAAAGUGCUACACAAUGAUGGUUGUUCUUGCAUAUCUUCUGCCACCGUUGCAUGGAAGUCGAUGCAAUGUUAAAUCUGAAAUUUCAUUUCUUUCAAUUUAAUUUUGUACCGCGUGGAGCCACUAUUGCAUCCCUCUGCAGCAGUUUUGAGACCGCAUCAAAGACCAGACCACAGCCGAUCUACAUUGGAAGUUUGAAGAGCACAGCAUGACAGUACAUCAUUACGAGGAUUGACAGAGUAACCAUUCCUGUGGAUGAGGGCCUGAUGUGCUGUGGACAAUAUAUUCUAGGUGUGAAACUUGUCCUGUCCACCACAGAUUAGUUUGGUCUUUUCUUUCUAAGACUGGAGCAUCUAAUAUUGAAACACCACAUUCUCUUCUUUUUAAAACUGACAUCGUUUCGCUAGAAAACAACCUCUUCUUCAGCUGUGAUUGCGUACAGCCCGUUUAAACACUUCAAAGACUUUUAAAACUGCAUUGAUUUGGACUUAAAAACGAUGGUAACCAAUGAACUCCAUUGUUAGAAGAAAAAUCCAGAAAUGUUUUCCUCAAAAAACAAAAUUUCUCUCCCACUGAGGAAAGAAAGACAUGGAUAUCUUGGAUGGCAUUGGGUGAGUAAAUUAUUAGGAAAUUUUCUUUUUGGGGUGAACUAAUCCUUUAAGCAUACAAUGAACACUCACAGUAGCUUUUAGUCAAUAUAAAGCGUUAUGUUAUCUUAUGUUAUGUUCUUACACUGCAGUAAGUAAUGCAUUCAUAAAGUGAUUCUCUAUUAAAGUUGUUUAAAUGUGAAAAACUUUGUUUAUUAAAGUUUAUUGCAAACGAA